rnacentral:rRNA from 1 species
GAUGAACGCUAGCGGCAGGCUUAAUACAUGCAAGUCGAGGGGCAGCAGUUUUGUAGCAAUACAGAAGCUGGCGACCGGCAAACGGGUGCGGAACACGUACGCAACCUUCCUUUAACUGGAAGAUAGCCCACCGAAAGGUGGAUUAAUACUCCAUAACAUAUUGAAGAGGCAUCUCUUUGAUAUUAAAGCUCCGGCGGUUAAAGAUGGGCGUGCGUCUGAUUAGGUAGUUGGCGGGGUAACGGCCCACCAAGCCUUCGAUCAGUAGCUGAUGUGAGAGCAUGAUCAGCCACGCGGGCACUGAGACACGGGCCCGACUCCUACGGGAGGCAGCAGUAAGGAAUAUUGGUCAAUGGACGCAAGUCUGAACCAGCCAUGCCGCGUGGAGGAUGAAGGCCCUCUGGGUUGUAAACUUCUUUUCUUUGGGACGAAACCCCUGUUUCUACGGGGACUGACGGUACCAGAGGAAUAAGCACCGGCUAACUCCGUGCCAGCAGCCGCGGUAAAAC